rnacentral:rRNA from 1 species
AGAAUCAACGCUGGCGGCGUGCCUAACACAUGCAAGUCGAACGAGAAAGUGGAGCAAUCCAUGAGUAAAGUGGCGCACGGGUGAGUAACACGUGACUAACCUACCCUCGAGUGGGGAAUAACUUCGGGAAACCGAGGCUAAUACCGCAUAAAACCUAAGGGUCAAAGGAGCAAUCCGUUUGAGGAGGGGGUCGCGGCAGAUUAGUUAGUUGGCGGGGUAAUGGCCCACCAAGACGAUGAUCUGUAUCCGGCCUGAGAGGGCGCACGGACACACUGGAACUGAAACACGGUCCAGACUCCUACGGGAGGCAGCAGUGGGGAAUUUGCGCAAUGGGGGAAACCCUGACGCAGCAACGCCGCGUGGAGGAUGAAAUCCCUUGGGAUGUAAACUCCUUUCGAUCGGGAAGAUAAUGACGGUACGGAAGAAGAAGCCCGGCUAACUCGCGCCAGCAGCCGC